GACACAGGACAGUCAAGAUGGCUCCAGUUCAACUUUUAGGGCUUUUGCUGCUCUGCCUCCCAGCCAUGAGAUGUGACAUCCAGAUGACCCAGUCUCCUUCACUCCUGUCUGCAUCUGUGGGAGACAGAGUCACUCUCAACUGCAAAGCAAGUCAGAAUAUUAAUAAGAACUUAGACUGGUAUCAGCAAAAGCUUGGAGAAGCUCCCAAACUCCUGAUAUAUUAUACAAACAGUUUGCAAACGGGCAUCCCAUCAAGGUUCAGUGGCAGUGGAUCUGGUACAGAUUACACACUCACCAUCAGCAGCCUGCAGCCUGAAGAUGUUGCCACAUAUUUCUGCUUUCAGUAUAACAGUGGGCCCCACAGUGAUACAAACCAUAACAUAAACCACCCAGAGAUGCAGAUGUAUGAGACAGAAUCUGGAAACAAUCGAGAUGUCACUCAACCAGAGAAUGGAUACAGAAACUACUGUUCAUUUAUGCAACGGAAUAUUAACCAGAAAAAUAUGCAUUACUAUUCUAUUCCAAGAUCCCUGCAGAUGCUCAUUCAGGAUGAGUUAUUGAAUGUCGCUGUUCUCAGACUUGUCAAAGUGGUCCUGAUUUGCAUGUGCCCUAGUCCCGUCCUGAGCCAUGAGGACUUCUUCACAGGUGAGUGUGAUAAUUAUGCUUUGUAG